rnacentral:rRNA from 1 species
AUUGAACGCUGGCGGCAUGCUUUACACAUGCAAGUCGAACGGUAACAGGCCGCAAGGUGCUGACGAGUGGCGAACGGGUGAGUAAUGCAUCGGAACGUGCCCAGUCGUGGGGGAUAACGCCGCGAAAGCUGUGAUAAUACCGCAUACGAUCUAUGGAUGAACGCGGGGGACCGUAAGGCCUCGAGCGCUUGGAGGGGCCGAUGCCAGAUUAGGUAGUUGGUGGGGUAAAGGCCUACCAAGCCGACGAUCUGUAGCUGGUCUGAGAGGACGACCAGCCACCCUGGGACUGAGACACGGCCCAGACUCCUACGGGAGGCAGCAGUGGGGAAUUUUGGACAAUGGGCGCAAGCCUGAUCCAGCAAUGCCGCGUGCAGGAAGAAGGCCUUCGGGUUGUAAACUGCUUUUGUACGGAACGAAACGGUCUGGGUUAAUACCCCGGGCUAAUGACGGUACCGUAAGAAUAAGCACCGGCUAACUACGUGCCAGCCGCCGCUGUAACAC